AACGAACGCUGGCGGCAUGCCUAACACAUGCAAGUCGAACGAGACCUUCGGGUCUAGUGGCGCACGGGUGAGUAACGCGUGGGAACCUGCCCUUAGGUUCGGAAUAACUCCCCGAAAGGGGUGCUAAUACCGGGUAAUGUCUUCGGACCAAAGAUUUAUCGCCUUUGGAUGGGCCCGCGUUGGAUUAGCUAGUUGGUAGGGUAAAAGCCUACCAAGGCGACGAUCCAUAGCUGGUCUGAGAGGAUGAUCAGCCACACUGGGACUGAGACACGGCCCAGACUCCUACGGGAGGCAGCAGUGGGGAAUAUUGGACAAUGGGCGAAAGCCUGAUCCAGCAAUGCCGCGUGAGUGAUGAAGGCCUUAGGGUUGUAAAGCUCUUUUACCCGGGAUGAUAAUGACAGUACCGGGAGAAUAAGCUCCGGCUAACUCCGUG
rnacentral:rRNA from 1 species